AUCGCCCAUCCCUCAUGACUGUCGUGAUUUUUAUGUAUCUAGCAGAUUUAGCUGGUGUUACGGGCGGGCCUGUUUAGGACAUGAUCAGUUUCUCUUGCAUUCUAAGAGGUGUACGUGUUGACAGGGCGUUUUAGAGCAAAGGGUUUUAUUGAAAAUUAUGCAAAUGUACUGAAAUAGUUCACUUGUUCUCAGUUAACUUGUUGCUAAACCAUUUUUUUUAAAAUGUUUCUGGUUCACACUCUAGCUUGUCUCUGGCCUGAAGUACAUCUUCACUGUGAAUAUGGCCAGAACUAGCUGCAGGAAGGGUGAAGUUGAGACCCUUUGCGCCAUUCAUGAGGACCCCGCUCUUGCACAGGUCAAUAAAUGCACAAUUGUGGUCUGGAGCCAGCCAUGGAUGAACUCAAUCAAGGUCCUUGAAAAUACCUGCCCAUAGAGCACAUAAUUCUAGUGCAGUAUGGGGAUUUUCAUCUUUCAUGCAGCAAUAAAAUUUACUUGCUUUUGCUAAUAUUGUUAAAACCCUAAAUCUUUAUAGUUAACUAAAUUGGAAGUUUAUUUAUCCUGAUAACCUUCAGUUACACUAACAUGUUACCAUGCUUCAUUUUAGACUCCAGUUCUUUGGAAAAAAAAAAGCUUCAGUUUUUAAGAAUUUCUAAAUAAUAAAUGGCAUGGUUCUAUAGUUGUUCAAUCUUUACUAUUAAAACAUGGUUGAAUUAUUAAUGUCUGUGCCUUGAGUUUAUUAGUUUAAAUGCAUUGUAGGAGUUACACUGGCUUUCAGAGAUAUUCUCAAACAGUUAAAAGAUUUGAAAGACAGAAUGCUGUAUUCAAUUGUAUGUAGGACAGCUAGUGUGUGGACUAAGUCCGCUCCAUAUGAGUCAAUUGAAUCAGUACAUAGCAUCAAAUAAUAAUUAAUCAGUUAUUUGCAGACAAUAUUACAGUUCAUACAAUUUCCAGUGAAUGUACUGUAGUUAGUGUAUAUUAGGCCUACAUAAAUAAUAUUAUAUUGUAUGCAUUUUUACAACUUUCAAAUUUGUAUCAGUGGUUUCAAAUAAGUUUUAACAUCUGUCUGAUUCCCAUCUUACUCAAAAAAUCUCCACUGGGAAGGGUGUGAACUGCAGGGACACACCUUCCUUCUUUUCUGCAAAUAAACAUGAUUAACUUACUUGUGAAAUAAUGUAUUGUGAGGAAUGAUCAAUCAGAAGUUCAUUUCAGGCAAUUUAAUUGUUCUAGUCCCUAGUCACUGACUUAAUGGAAUCAUCAUUAUGGGGUCAUGAAGUUAAGUGAUGUUUACGUAGUAAGCGGAAAUAUCCUGCAACUUGAUUCUAUAUAAAAGAGCCAUUCUUGUCAGUUACAAUAAAUGCAAGUGUUGAUUAAUUUA